CCUACGGGAGGCUGCAGUGGGGAAUAUUGCACAAUGGGCGCAAGCCUGAUGCAGCGACGCCGCGUGCGGGAUGGAGGCCUUCUGGUUGUAAACCGCUUUUGUUCAAGGGCAAGGCUCUGUCUUUUGCCGUGUUUAGUGUAUUGUUCGUAUAUGCACCUGCUAACUACGUGUCAGCAGCCGCGGUAAUACGGAGGGUGCAAGCGUUAUCCGGAUGUAUUGGGCGUAAAGGGCGCGUAGGCGGUUCGUCGCGUCAGGUGUGAAAGUGUAUGGCUUAACGGUGGAUCCGCGCCGGUUACUGGCGGGCUUGAGUGCGGUAGGGGAGACUGGAAUUCCCGGUGUAGCGGUGGAAUGUGUAGAUAUCGGGAAGAACACCAAUGGCGAAGGCAGGUCACUGGGCCGUAACUGACGCUGAGGAGCGAAAGCGUGGGGAGCGAACAGGAUUAGAUACCCCUGUAGUC
rnacentral:rRNA from 1 species